UACGUAGGGUGCGAGCGUUGUCCGGAAUUAUUGGGCGUAAAGAGCUUGUAGGCGGUUUGUCGCGUCUGCUGUGAAAAUCCGGGGCUCAACCCCGGACUUGCAGUGGGUACGGGCAGACUAGAGUGCGGUAGGGGUGACUGGAAUUCCUGGUGUAGCGGUGGAAUGCGCAGAUAUCAGGAGGAACACCGAUGGCGAAGGCAGGUCACUGGGCCGCAACUGACGCUGAGGAGCGAAAGCAUGGGGAGCGAACAGG
rnacentral:rRNA from 1 species